CCGAAGUCAAGACCUUCUGGGCCCAGUGGAGGUGCUGGGCUGCUCCGGGACACCAUCACCACUUCACCAUCCACAACAUCCUCAAGAGCUGAGCAGCCCUGCACAGACCCUGGGGGGCUUCCUGUUCCACAAGCUCCACUCCCUUUUUCCUCUCCAUCUUUGCUGUUGGGCCUCCCCUCCAAAUCUGCCUAACAAAGGCAGCACAAUCUUUAAUACCUGUGCAGCUUUGUAAAUGGAGACAGGAUACUCUCUUUUGAAAGCUGAGAUUCCCUGUCCAGUCUGGGGGAGGAAAAAAUGGGCCUGGUAACCCUCAUAGCCCCUGUCCCUAAGAGAAUGCUUGACAUGUAGCACACUCUCAAACUUGUUCAAUAGUUG
rnacentral:lncRNA from 1 species